CUACGUGCCAGCAGCCGCGGUAAUACGGAAGGUCCAGGCGUUAUCCGGAUUUAUUGGGUUUAAAGGGAGCGUAGGCUGGAGAUUAAGUGUGUUGUGAAAUGUAGACGCUCAACGUCUGAAUUGCAGCGCAUACUGGUUUCCUUGAGUACGCACAACGUUGGCGGAAUUCGUCGUGUAGCGGUGAAAUGCUUAGAUAUGACGAAGAACUCCGAUUGCGAAGGCAGCUGACGGGAGCGCAACUGACGCUUAAGCUCGAAGGUGCGGGUAUCAAACAGGAUUAGAUACCCUGGUAGUCCGCACAGUAAACGAUGGAUGCCCGCUGUUGGUACCUGGUAUCAGCGGCUAAGCGAAAGCAUUAAGCAUCCCACCUGGGGAGUACGCCGGCAACGGUGAAACUCAAAGGAAUUGACGGGGGCCCGCACAAGCGGUGGAGCAUGUGGUUUAAUUCGAAGCAACGCGAAGAACCUUACCAGGUCUUGACAUCCCUCUGACCGCUCUAGAGAUAGAGUUUUCUUCGGGACA
rnacentral:rRNA from 1 species